rnacentral:lncRNA from 1 species
GCAAAGGGAGAGACUUGAGAGAGUUUUUUUACUUCAGGUGCUGAGAAACAUAAUGUCUGUUCCCCAAGAGCCAGCUAAUCAUUUUUACUAAGUACGAUAAUUGGCUGCCCUGAUUCAGAUAACAUAUCCUUAUUGUGACAUAGGGGUGACUGUUGUCAGAAAACCCUGAAAAUGUUUUAAAACAACUAAUGGGGCUUGGCGAUUCUUGCCACGCUUUUCCAGAGCUCGGACCUUGCUAUUAUUUGCUACUAGGCACCCACAAACCCUUGCUUGUUAAACUGAUCUCCUUCAAGACUCAAGAAAAGCACCAUGCAGCUCCCUCCUAGGGCUCUCCUGACCUUUCCUCACCAAUGCGGAGAGUGGUCCUGCUGGAGAACCGACACGCCUGCAGUUCGUGCACCUUUUCCCGGAGCUGCACCAGGAAAUUAUGGAUCAACUGGAAGCAGCCAAGAAGAAGGGACUUGGCGAUCACAUCCAGCUAUUUAGCCAUCUCAGACUGCGGACCUCCGUGCGCCCCCUGGCAGGUUCCCUCCGCCUAGGGUCGAAAGCUGCAGAGGCAGCCCCAACUCUUCCACCUCUUCCUCCAUCUCUGGCUCCCAGGCUUGGGAGGCCCCGCGCCACCGCUUCAACUGGCUGGGGUGGGAAGAUUGAAACGGCUCUUGAGACUCUGCUUUUGCGCUUACUGCUCGUUUGCCCGACUAUUUUCUCAUAGUCCCUAUUCCAGUCAAUUUCUGGCACAGCCCAGCUUGAAACUGCUCUUGAGCCUCCGAUUUUGAGCUUACUCCUGGUUUGCCCGACUAUUUUCUCAUAGUCCCUGUUCCGGUCAAUUUCCGGCGCAGCCCAGCCCAGUCCGGCGAGGUCUGGAAAGGCCUGACUCGCCUCGCAGCCUGAAUGACUUGUACCUACCGCCGAUGCGGACCUCCCAGUCCUCUUGGCGACUGUGGGGUGGGGGGCAUGCGGUUGAAGCCGUUCACGCGGGCAGUCCCUGCAUGUCCCCCCACGUGCUCCCCAGUGCACGCAGCACCCCCGCCUCCACGCUUCCCUGAGCGUGCAGCCUUUGGUGAGGGCAGCCCCACGCACAGCCCCCCACACCCUCCCCAGCUCCUGCAGCCCCUGGUGCACGCAGUCCCCAAGCCCGCACGUGCAGCCCCCACCUUGCGCACAGCUCCACGUACAGCCCCUCACACGUUCCCAGCCCCAGUGGCGCAGAACCCAUCACUACUCGCUCUCUCUUCACGCACUUCACUGGGCUUGCAGCCCCCACAGCGCGCAGCUCAAUGCAGCCUCUCCACGUGCUCCCCAGGGCCUGCAGCCUCUUCUUAACUCUUUUGCCAGGCCCACACAUACCUGCCUGUGGCCUGAGUGGAUUGGCAAUGACAGUGGUGACAGCUGACAUUUACUGAGUACGUGCUAUGUUCCAGAUGCUGCGUUUCCAUUCUCCGAUGAAGAAUCUUAAGUCUCAGGGCCUCAUGCAAAACCAUACAGCUAAUAAGCAGUAGAGUUGGGAUCUAAGCCCAGGGAAUUUUACUCUAGAACUCACAGUAUUAGCCACAGUGCUCUCUUGGCUUAUAUUUCUAAGGCACAUGCUGUAACCACCUUUUUUUUUUUUUUUUUUUUUUUUUUGAGAUGGGGUCUCACUCUGACACCCAAGCUGGGGUGCAGUGGCGCGAUCUCGGCUCACUGCAACCUUCGCCUCCCAGAUUCAAGGGAUUCUCCUGCCUCAGGCUCCUGAGUAGCUAGGAUUACAGGCACAUGCCACCAUGCCUGGAUAAUUUUUUGUAUUUUUAGUAGAGACGGGGUUUCGCCAUGUUGCCCAGGCUGGUCUCAAACACCUGACCUCAGGUGAUCCGCCCACCUCGGCCUCCCAAAGUGCUGGGAUUACAGGUGUAAGCCGCCACGCCCUGCCUAUAACCAUUCUUUUUUUAGGGAGGUGUGGUAUAUGGUGCUACCCUGGAUCUGUAGUCAGGAUUUGAAGAAGGGAGAAGGUAUUUGCUUGUGAAGAAGGCACCAUGCAUUGUGCUCUGUAGUGGUGACUGGAGAGAGAGCUGGGAGGGGCACAGGCAGCAAGGUCCCUGCUUAAAGACAGUUAUCUAGUUUGGAGAAACUUAGCUGGAUAGUCAGUUCUUACAUGCAUUUGGCAAGCACUUAUCAUACACUGUAAAGAGGCAAUAUGUCUAGCUUGUUAGAGGGUUGGCUGUGGAGUCAGACUCCUGGCUUUGAACCCCAACUUCCCUGCCAUUUUCAAAUGACACUGGAGAAGUCGCAAAACCUAUUUCUGUCUCAGAUUCCUCCCCAGUAAAAGUGGGAUAUUAAUAGUACCUCCUUUGGCUUGAUAUGAAAAUUCAAUGAGUUGAUAUAUGCAGAACGUCUUAGAACAGCAACUAGCUUAGAGUAAAUCUUCAGUAAUUGUAAACUGUGAAUAUAUUAUGUUUUUGGCACUGAAGCCACGUCGUGGUAAGACAGUGCCUGACCUCAAGAAGCUCAGAGUCUAGUACUGGAGACAGGUGAACAAAUACUUGCAAAGUGUGUGGUGUGAGAGUGGUGUGACAGGUGGGCGGGAGCCUGCAGCAGGCACAUCUGACCCAUCCUAGGUGUGUAUGGUGCAGAGAAGUUAGCCUAGGCUUUCUAGGGGCACUGAUGUCUGGGCCGAGUCUUGUAGGGCAGGGAGUUAGUCAAGGGGAGCUGUAGUGAUCCAGCUGGGGCUGAGCAGGAGCUGAAAGUGAACAGCUCACAUCUGUAGGGUUGCCAGAUUUAGCAACGGAAAGUACAGGAUGCCCUAUUAAAUGUGAAUUUCAGAUAAAAUAAUAACUUUUAAGAAUAUGUGUCAUGCAAUAUUUUUAGUAUAAGUAUGUCCCAAAUAUUGUAUAACCACACACAUUAUUCGUUGUUUAUCUGAAAUUCAAAUUUCACUGGGCAUCCUAUGAAAAGUCUGUCAAUUUUAUCUGUCCGCAUUUAGGAAGGUGCAGUAUGUUUCAGAGUAGCUGGAGUGAUGCAGGGAGGAAAGGCAGAGUGGGCCGGAUGGGGCUGAGAGGCACACAGGAGGCAGUUUGUAAAAGACCUAUGCUAUGUUAAGGGAUUUGGAUUUUAUCCUAAAAUUAAUGAUGAGCCCUUGGAGAGCUUUAACCACAGGGAUGUGAAACCACAGAGACAGCAGUGUCGGGCACGAAGAAAUGAGUGUCACUUUCUAUGGCUGAAUAGCAAAUUACUCCAAAUUUAAAGUCUUAAACAGUAAACAUUAUCUCCCAGUUUCUGUGGCUCAGGAAUUCAGAGGCAACUUAGCUAGGUGGUUCUGGCUGAGGUUUCUCAUGAGGUUGUAGAUAAGAUGGUGACCACAGUGGCAGUUAUCUAAAGGAUGUACUGAAGCUGGAGAAUUUGUUUCUAAGGUGACUCACUCUAAUGGUUGGGAAGGUACUGCUGGCUGUCAGCAGGAAAGCUGAGUUCCUUGCUACAGGACCCCCCAUAGGACAACUUGAGCCUCCUCACAACAUGACAGCUGGCUUAGUAAUCCAAGACAGCAAAGUGACAUUAACUUUGGAAGUCACAUGCCACCUUGUCAUUCCCAUAUAUCCCAGUGCUAACACAGCUCAGCCCUGCUCAGUGCAGGAGGGUCCUACACAAGGAUGUACAUACAAGGAGGUGGGGAUCAUGGGGUUAUCUUGGAGGCUGGUUUUCUGGGAUGGGAGGCUUACAUGGUGAUGCCUGUGACCUUGGAGGUGGAGGAGAAUGAUGGGCGUACAGAAGAGUGAAGAAAGGCUGGGAGGAAUAGAGAUGUGGGAGAGGAGGUGAGGCAAGAAAAAAGAAAGGAGGAAGGGGUGUUGGAGCAGAUUGUAGUUGAUCCACAGCAAAGAGCAUCACCAAAGCCAUUCCAGGAGGAACUAGAUCCACCACUUCCUCUGCUGGGCACGCUCCAAAAAUGGUUGUGGCCUCCAGAGAGGACUCCAAAAGAAAGCACAAAAACUAGACAGUGGGAGGGCAUACCCAAAAGCCCUGAGUUUCUGAAAAAAAUAUUGAAAGUUUCUAUGGUGAAAUAGGAAGUUAAUGUGCUUAGGAAGAAGAAAGUGGUAAUGAUUCAAGGAAACAUAAUCACACACGGUUUUAGUUUUAAUGGACAUGGGAGGAGCCAUAAAAGUAGUCUAUCAUCAGUUACGUGUCUAAUGAACUGUCUAUCUGGGAUACCCUAUCCUGUUUUAAUCUGAGUGACUCUCUCUCAGCUGAGAGAGCUGGACAGACUGCAUUUUAGCUUCUUCACUUGCAGUCCCCUUAUCCCCCUCCCUUAAGGGAAUAACUAGUGCAAGCUGACUCCAAGCACAUCCAGGAAUGCACUUACUGAUAAGAUAUUGAGGCAAGCUGUACCAGCAGCUCCUGGGGACGUGCUCAGUGGAUGGUACCCAAGCCCCUGCAUUUAUCUCUUUGUGAUAGUUUAAGCCCCUGCACCUGGAACUGUGUAUUUUUCUGUAACUAUCUCUGUAACCAUUAAUUUUUUUUAACUUUUUGCCUGUUCUGCUUCUGUAAAAAUUGCUUCAGCUAGGCUCCCCCUGCCCUAUUUAGACCAUGGUAUAAAAAGAAAUCUAUCCCCUUCUUCGGGGCUGAGAGAAUUUUGAGCUCUAGCCAUCUCUCGGUCACUGGCAAUAAAAGAACUCCUGAAUUAGUCUCAGAGUGUGGCGUUUCUCCA